rnacentral:rRNA from 1 species
GUCCACGCUGUAAACGAUGUGUGCUAGACGUUGGGGAGCCUAGCUCUUCGGUGUCGCAGCUAACGCUUUAAGCACACCGCCUGGGGAGUACGGCCGCAAGGUUAAAACUCAAAGGAAUUGACGGGGGCCCGCACAAGCGGUGGAGCAUGUGGUUUAAUUCGACGCAACGCGAAGAACCUUACCAGCCCUUGACAUGUCCGGUAUGGGCGGGGAGACCUCGUUCUUCAGUUCGGCUGGCCGGAACACAGGUGCUGCAUGGCUGUCGU